UGUCAUGAUCCUGCCCUCGUGUCCUUGAUUUUUCCUAGUCUUGAGGCAGGAUCAUGACAGACCCUUGUUUUGUGUACAAGCGCAUGGCCUUGUCUUUGGGCCAUGUGCUUGUGUUGUCUCGUUCCCUUGCCCCGCCCCCCUUGUUAACCUAGUCGUGUCUUGAUUGUCCCAUCUGUGCCACCUGUCGUGUCUUGAUUGUUUCCCCUAUUUAGAUCUCCUAGUGUGCUCUGUCUUGCGUCGGUUCAUUGUACCUGUCAUUGUGAUUGUACCUCAACUGUGUCCUACAUCGUGAUUGUGUGUGAGAUUGUGCUGUACCCGCUGAAGUCCUUGUAUUACCGUGAGUGUUUAUAGUUAGUAUUUAGAGUCCUUGUUUAUCUUGUCAGUCCAGUCCCGUUUUAGUUAUUUAGUCUUUACCUUGCUCCGUGUUUUCCCCCUCGUGGGUUUUGUUUUCCCCUUUUUGUAAUAAACCCUUUGUUUGAGAA